UUUUGACUGAUAAUUUUUUUGUAUAAUUACGUUAGAAAAUGUCAUUCCGCUAUUAUUAUGCAUAUUACCAAUAAAAUCAACUGUGUAACAACUAGGGGUGUCAAAAUGGGUCAAAAUUCAUGGGUCAACUCAACUCAACUCAACCCAUGAACCCUAAUGGGUUGAAAUUUUUGACUCAAAUGAGUUGAUGGGUCAAAUGAGUUGAUGAGUCAAUUGGUUUGAUGAGUAAAAUGAGUUGGGUUGUAAUGGGUUAAUGGUUUUAGUGGUUUACCCAAUUAACCCAUCAAAUUUUGUAAAAUUGAAUUAAACCAACUAAAAUUUCUAAACCAAUAUUUAACCAACACAUCUAAACCAAUUUAAUAAAAUCAUCCCCAAAUUUACAAAAUCAAUCGUUUCUCGACCUCCACUUCGACCUAUACUCUCCACCGGUCUCAUCCACAUCGGAGACUGACAAGACGACGAAGACUGCUUCAAUUGAAGACGACGAUGAUGAUGUGCUUGUAGUGGGUCAAAAGGGUGAGGUAUGUUUCCACUGGACCCUUCUCAUUUCUAACUACUUUUUCGUUUUCUUCAUUCGAAUUGGCGUGAAAGUUCAGAUUCUGUAUGCGUUAGUGUUGUUUAGCUCUUAAUCAUGUUCAGGAUCUAACUUAAGUGAUGGUAGAAGCGUAUUCAAUGUUGCUCUAGAGUUCUGAAGCUUGUUUAUAUGGUUAAUUUUCACUUUAUUUGAAUGGCUCUACCUUUAAUAGACUAGUCUUCUUCUAGUUUGUGGUACUUGAGCGAUGAAGUUUGAGUUCUGGGAUUAGUUACUUCUGAUAGUUUUGAUGUGAUUGCCAAAUUGUUAUGUGUUUGUUUCGGUAAAGGGUUUAAGCUGAAAGAAGAUAUAUGCUUGCCGUAUUGUCAUAUCCUUCUCUUUGUUUUGAUGUGAGCUAACAAAAAUCGUAUUUAGUCAUAUGCUUGUCGUAUUGUCCAAAACAGUCUUCUUUUCUCUUUGUUUUAUUGAUUCUUUGACUGUGUCUAUGUGAUUAAUUCUUGUAUUUGGCUAAUAACAGGUUUUAUUAAGCAAUCUCUAACUUGGCCUUAUUUCUAUGUAUAGUUAUUUGCAGCUGAUCUUUUACAAAAAAUGGACAAUGAAGACGAAUGUACUUAUGGUGGUGAAGGUGGGCAAACAUCAGCAGAUACAUCACAAUCUAAAAGUUUAGUAAGUGCUUCUCGUUUUAAAAGAAGUAGAACAUCAGAUAUGUGGGAUUACUUUACACUAGAAGAUGAGAAUAACCUCGUGAUUUUCCCGCCAAAAAAACGUAACCUCGUGAUUUUCCCGCCAAAAAAACAUGACCCCGUGAUUUUCCCGUCACAAAACGUAACCUCGUAAUUUUACCGUCUAAAAAUGUAAACUCGUAAAAAUUUCUGAAUCAAUAAAUAUCUCAAAUUUAAUAAUAAUGAAUUAAUGAUGAUGAUAAUUAUUUAUUAUUGUUUUAUAAUAAUAAUUAAUUAAAUUAUUAUUUAAAUGGUUAACCCAUUUAACAACUCAACCCAUCAAAUGAAAUGAGUUAUGGGUUAGACCCAACUCAUUUAACAAAAUGAGUUGGGUCAACCCAUAACUCAUUUAAUCAUAAACUCA
rnacentral:sRNA from 1 species